UGUUCACUAGGGAUAAGUUUCGAUGCAGCAAUGGGACAAGAUUUGAUUAAUCAAGAUAUCAAACAGGCCAGUAACGAAUUUGACAAUUUUCCAUCAAUUGAAGAGUUUAGUGUUGCGAAUCAACGACCGUGGAAGGCUGCUGAAGAAGUAAAUGACCAAUCAAUGGAAUCUGAUGAAGAACGCCACCAAGAAAGAAUGGAACGACCGAAGAGAAAUAUUCGCAAGCCAACCAAAUAUAAAGAUAUGUUUUUGUAUAGAGUUUUUGAAUAGAAUUGUAACAGUUUUUGAAUAUAGUUUUGUAUAAAGUUUUUUUUAUAGAGUUUCAGAAGAGUUUUUAAACAGAGAGUAGAUAAUUAGGCGAAUGUAGGGAAUAUAAUUAAUGGCUAUUGAACAAUUUAUAAUUGAUCACAGCAAUCGCGGAAAAGAAAGAUGAUCUUAGGAGUCGAGUAUAGGAAACGAAAUUUAAUAAAUCA